rnacentral:lncRNA from 1 species
CACAAAAUCAAUCCCUCCCAAGGGUCACUGUUCAGAUAUUGGGGAAACCUGUCACUCUGCUUGCAAAACUUGAAUUUGUACCAGAUCAUUUCCUCCACAGUGUCGUUGUACUGAUGUCACUAACUUUUGCUAUAAACCAUGUACCUAAGCUCACUAGGAAUGAGCAUGAAGACUGUGAUGUUGAACAAAGUUACUUAAGCUUUGUUUCCAUGUAAUAUAAUGAAUAAAUUGAUGAUGGAAUAAAAACUAUGACUCUGCAGUUAGUUUGUCUUCCUCAAACUCACUGCAAGUCAGGGUGUUUCUUUUAGUCCUCUUGUCUUGUGUUAGUUGAAUUAUUUUCAUUUUUAAAUGAUUUUGUUUAAUUUGUGGACUACAAAAUAAGACUUUUUUAAAAGGCUUGAAUAUGUUUUUGAUUUCUGAGAUUUGUAAACGUAAUCAAAUUUGAUCUCAAUUUUUUUUCGUUGAAAUGUAAUAUUUGAUUUUUUUUAAUCAAAGUAAGUCAUUUUACUCAAUUUUAACCGAUUAACGGUCCAGUGGCAAGCCUUGUCAGCAGAUGAUGUUCACAUGAAUUUUUUCGCAUCAAUUUUAAUCAUUAAAAAAAAUUUAAAUCAUAUUUUCAGCCCCUCCUUCCUACCACCACACUACUCUACCUUCUUCCCUGAUCUCCUUCUUUCUCUGCCCAUAAUUUUUCUAGACCACAACCUUCAACUCAGAACUUUUUUCCCACACUUCUCUACCUCCUUCAUUCUGUUCUUGUUCCUCUUCCUCCUCAGUCCAUAACCAACAAAUUAAAAAAAGUUUUUUUUACAGCAAUUUAUAUAAUUACCGUAAACAUAUAUCUGGAUGUAAUUCUCACCGCAAGUUAAAAUUUGCUGAUUAUAUUCUUAAAAAAAGAAAAUUAGGGAAGAAGAUGAUGAAGAUCAAAGAGAAGAAAAUGAAGCAUGCAAGUGCCCAAAAGCUCAAAUGAACAAGAAUUUUAUCAUUGGAUGAGAAUUGAAGAAGAAAGAAGAUGGUGGUGGAAGAAUAGAGACUAAAAAUAUGAUUUAAAAAUUUUACAGGGACUAAAAUUGAUACAAAAUAACCUAUGUUGACACCAUUUGCCGACUAGGCUCGCAACUGGACCGUCAUCUGGUUAAAAUUGAGCAAAUUAACUCAAUUUGAUUAAAAAAUUAUUCCAAAAAUUGCAUUUCAGAGAAUUUUUUUUCAAAGGCCCAAUUUAAUUCCCUUUAUAAUCUCAGUAACAUAUUUAAGUCUUUUUAAAAUCAUCCAUAAUAUGUGUUUAUAAAAUGAUACAUAACACUUGAAUAAGAGCCAGCCUACGCUAUGACAAUAACACCGGUUUUAUUGAAACAACAUUACACAAUAACAUCAAAGCGAAUGUAAUGAAAAACAAACCAAUAAAUUUUUCUGUCCUAUUAAGGAUUUUCUUGUAGAGUACUUUUUUUUUGACAGUCUCUUGUAGAGUACUCAAAACAAAUGAAAAGCAGAAUUAUAGUCGCUAAAUUAUAGACAUACAAUUCCGAAUCUUAUUAUAUAGACAUAUACUUUUUUCCACUUGAGCAGAUUAAUCAUUCAAAUAGAAAGCUUGUUGAAGCUAAUUUUCCUUAUGUUUAAAACGUAAGUGUCUAGGGACAUUUCCAAUGCUCUUGUUGGUGGUGUUACUUAGCAACAGGAUAAAAAUAUUUUCUCUAAAAAUGGUGAAUCCAAAAUAAAAACAGCAAUGUAAUAAUUUUUUCGCUAAAUUAGCGACGUAAUAAAAAUUAAACAAUACUUGGUUAGCGACAGAUUGUGAUAUGUUAGCGACAUAUUGCAUCGUCGCAAAUAGCGAUAAAAUAAUAGUUAAUAUGACAAACAAUUUAGCAAAUGAGUUAUGGUAUAUAUUAGCAACGGUAUUUCCGUUGCUGAUAGCGACAGACUCAAAUUCAUCUCUAAUGAUUUAGUUACGCCACAUUUUGCCAUAAAUUGUAAUUUGUCGUUAAUUCUGUCGCUAAAAGAUUAGCAAGGGAAUUUUUUCCCAAUUGGAUUUUUUUAGUAGUGUUAAUAAGGGAUAUAAAUGGUAUAUUGGGUAAUUAGGUGAUAAAAGUAAGAACAUUUAAUACUAUGAGGAAAAAAUGAUGCACCAACCGUGUGGAUGUUAAAAUUAAACUUUAAACUGGAACAAAUGGAUAAGAGUAGAGAUGAGUGUAACUUUGGUAAAGCAAUUUACUCUAUAACUUAAGUAUUGAAAUCAUAUUUUUAGCUUAUAAACUCUAAAUAAAUAAUGUCUAAAAUAUAUUCAUAGUUUUGUGUUUCACAUAUGCGCACAUGCAUAUUUCAUUCCAAAUAUUUAAACUCCAGUUGAAUUUUAAAACUUUGAUCUUAUCUUUCUGUAUAGGAUGGAUGACUAGUUCCAUUGUUGCUUUUGGGGACCCAUUUUAUAUCAUAAGGCAUUAAAUAUGAGACGCGAGGAACACAGUUUUGUCCUGUCAAUUGUUAAUUGCUAAAAUUUACUAGUAUAUUGUUUGCCAACAUAAUGUACAAAUUUUAAAUCAAGAUAAAAAUUAGCAAAACGUUAUAACGUACGCAUGGAAAUUUUGAAAUCGAUAUACAAUUACAAAUUUAAUAUCUUCCACCAAGAAGCGACAAAUAUAAAACUUAAUUUAUAUAUAUAUAUAUAUUCAAAAUAUAUAUAUAUAUAUAUAUUCAUCGGAAAAUUAAUUUAUAUGUUAUUGCAUAUAAUAUUGUAAUUUUAUAAACUUAUAUCAAAUAAAAAAAAUAACAUAAUGUUCAAAUAAGUCACCUUCACCGACAUUUUACACAAUGAGAGAUGUUGUUGACAUUCUUUCUUUGACGAAGUUAUCGGCAUUCAAUACUUUAAAGAACCAAUUUUAUCAAUGGAGUUGUUAUUGGUGUCACCCUACAUCUAAUAAUGACACUCACACUGACACUCCUAAAAAGGCAAAAAUACCAAAAUACAUACACUAUAAAAAACAUUCACCUCAAUUCCUUCCGCCUGCCCUCACCACCUGCCAUCCUCUCUCUUCUUUCCUCAUUAAUUCUACUCAUAUGUAUACACAUCUUCAUACGCAUCUCCACUAGCCACUCUCGCUCUUCUCCGUCGCUCUCCGUUGAACCCAUCAGAAUCUUUAGAAACUCUGUCGUUCUUCGUCGCCUAGCUCGCUUCGUUGAUGUUGUUGUUCCACUUGCAGAUAAACUCGCUGUUGUUUACCAUCAUUUCUAUCUGCAAGUAAAUACACUUUAAAGUGCGUUUAGCCAGUCUUUAAAGUGUAUUAACAUACACACUUUCAAAAUGCAAGUGAAAAAUUUUUAAAUGUCUUUUUCCAAUUUUACGAAUUUAAGAGUGAAUGAAGAACGACACUAAUAACAACCUUUGAAUAAUCAUUCCCACCAAACACGCCCCAAAUUAAACUUGUUGCUUCAGGCUGAUAUACUCACACCUCAUUUUUUCUCUACUUUAUUUUUACCUAUUUUUAUUUCUAUCUCUUUUCUCUUAUCACAUCUUAUACUUUCUCUUUCAUACUUUUUUCUUUUCUUUCUAUUUCAACUCAUCCACCUUUUUCCACUUCAAAACCUCAUUUUUAAGGUGUGAAAGAAUAACUAUUCCUUUAUGGCUUAAAGUUAGAAAAAUAUAAGAAUACAAACGUUAAUGCCUAGGAUUCCAAAGCAUGAUUCACCACGACGGGGAACAGCAAACCGACAGCUUCUGAUAGCGUAAUUUACCGUACAAUUAAUUGAAAAUACUCCCUUCGUUCCUAAAUAACUGAUACUAAUUUGGUUCUUUUUUUUGUUCCUAUUUAACUGAUACUUUUACAAUUUCAAGAGAACAUUAAUGCUACUUUAUCAAUUGUGCCCUUCAUUUAUUGUUGGUAGGAAAAUUGAAAAGUUAAAAUUAAUAAGAGAGAUAGAGGAUAUAAUGGGAAGUUAAAUAGUAAUUUUAGUAAAACAAUAAUAUUAAUUGCUACUUCUUAAUAUUUGUGCCAUAACCUUAAAGUAUCAGUUAUAUAGGAACGGAGGGAGUAAUUCAUACACCACCCUACAAGGCAAAAAAACAAAACGACACAUCAACUUAAAAUAAAAUAAGACCUUAUUGGGGGCAACUUCAACUAUAAAUGGACCUGUAGUUGCUCCUCAGAUCUUCACACAUCCAAAGAAAUAGUGAGAUUGAGGUGAUGGAGUUCAACAAGGUGAAUGUGGUUUUGCUGCUUUCCCUCUUGGCUUUCACUGCAUCUGUUGUCGUUGAUGCACGUAGUUUCGACCCAAAUUCCUUCAUCACUCAAGUGCUUCCAAAAGGUACUGAAGCCAAUUACUAUGUCAAAUCCACAACUAGUGCGUGCUGUAACAAUUGCCCCUGCACAAAAUCAAUCCCUCCCCAGUGUCGCUGUUCAGAUAUUGGAGAAACCUGCCACUCUGCUUGCAAAACUUGCCUGUGUACCAGAUCAUUUCCUCCACAGUGUCGUUGUACUGAUGUCACUAACUUUUGCUAUAAACCAUGUACCUAAGCUCACUAAGAAUGAGCAUGAAGACUGUGAUGUUGAACAAAGUUACUUAUAAAGCUUUGUUU